rnacentral:misc_RNA from 1 species
UUGAGCGUUAACGGCUAAGAC